rnacentral:rRNA from 1 species
UACGGAGGGGGCAAGCGUGGUGCGGAAUUACUGGGCGUAAAGGGUGCGUAGUCGGCUUGCUAAGUCGGGUGGGAAAACUAUGGGCUCAACCCAUAGCCUGCAUCCAAAACUGGAGAGCUUGGGUUCUGGAGGGGAAAGCGGAAUUCCUGGUGUAGCGGUGAAAUGCGUAGAUAUCAGGAGGAACACCGGUGGCGAAGGCGGCUUUCUGGACAGACACCGACGCUGAGGCACGAAAGCUAGGGGAGCAAACAGG